rnacentral:rRNA from 1 species
AACGAACGCUGGCGGCAUGCCUAACACAUGCAAGUCGAACGAGACCUUCGGGUCUAGUGGCGCACGGGUGCGUAACGCCUGGGAACCUGCCCUUAGGUUCGGAAUAACUCCCCGAAAGGGAUGCUAAUACCGGAUAAUGUCUUCGGACCAAAGAUUUAUCGCCUUUGGAUGGGCCCGCGUUGGUUUAGCUAGUUGGUAGUGUAAAAGCCUACCAAGGCGACGAUCCAUAGCUGGUCUGAGAGGAUGAUCAGCCACACUGGGACUGAGACACGGCCCAGACUCCUACGGGAGGCAGCAGUGGGGAAUAUUGGACAAUGGGCGAUAGCCUGAUCCAGCAAUGCCGCGUGAGUGAUGAGGGCCUUAGGGUUGUAAAGCUCUUUUACCCGGGAUGAUAAUGACAGUACCGGGAGAAUAAGCUCCGGCUAACUCCGUG